CGAUGAUGACCGUGUGCGGAGGAUAAGGAGACCCCUUCCUUUAUGGAGAAGCUUCAUAGUGGAGACGACAUCAAGGUGACCAGAAGAGAGGGUGUGGUGAGCCUUGCCUUUGUGGCAAGCUUCUCAUCUAGCUUGGCAAGAGCCUUUGUGGUGAGUUCAAGACCUUGUAGGGAGAGAUUUGGUGACCGGGAGUAUAUUCUUGGUGGAGCUCCAACGUGAACUAGGGGUGGCAAUUACCUACCGAUACCACGUGAUAAAAUCGUUGUGUCGAGUUUGCAUUCUUCCUAACCCACUCCUUUAUGUUUCUGCAUUUUAUUCUUGCAACUUGAGUGCUUUACUUACUAUAGUAGAAUCUUGAUAGGCUUAGAUUUAGGUUGCAAAACUUAUUUUGGGUAGGAAGAAUCACUAGAUCAACUAGAUAGUAUGAUCUAGUUUAUAUGUUGAAGCAAAUAGUGGGAGCCUAGGCUAAGGAUUUUAAGUUCACCUAAUUCACCCCCUCCCCCUCUUAGGCUACGAGCACCCAAUCUUUACAGUUCAUGUUCUCAUUUAUCGGCAGUUUGACAGGAAGAAAAACGCUCUUGGUACUGGCACUUGCGGCGUAGCUGCUCAUGUACACUACUCUGUAAGUGAUAAGGUGAUAGCGCUAAUCAAGAAGUUUAAGCAUGUUGGCGCCGUUGCACAAACAGUUUUGGAAUUUCCUUGUAGACGGACCAAUGCUCCAUGUGUAUGUGCUAUAUAAUAAUUGUGGGUCAUGAUAUAUGUGCUUGUGGGCAAAAUAUUAGGGCUAAGCUUGUACGCCAUAGUUGGGGAAACCUUAAUUCCAAAUCCCUACCCGUUGCCAAUCCUAAAGCUAAAGUGUAUGUGCACCGUUUCAUUACCAGGAAAUGGUUUGAUUUGUCAUCAAGGAAUGCUGAUGAAGAUUACAAAGAUUAGUUCAUUCAUCACGCACUGAAAGCGUGCAUUGACGU
rnacentral:lncRNA from 1 species